rnacentral:rRNA from 1 species
GACGAACGCUGGCGGCGUGCUUAACACAUGCAAGUCGAGCGAUGAAACACCUUCGGGUGCGGAUUAGCGGCGAACGGGUGAGGAACACGUGAGGAAUCUGCCUUCCACUCUGGGAUAACUCCGGGAAACCGGGGCUAAUACCGGAUACUUUCAACUGGCGGCAUCGCCGGUUGAAGAAAGUUUUUCGGUGGAAGAUGACCUCGCGGCCUAUCAGCUUGUUGGUGAGGAAAAGGCUCACCAAGGCGACGACGGGUAGCCGGCCUGCGAGGGCGACCGGCCACACGGGGAGUGAGACACGGCCCAGGCUCCUACGGGAGGCAGCAGUGGGGAAUAUUGGGCAAUGGAGGAAACUCUGACUCAGCGACGCCGCGUGAGGGAUGAAGGCCUUCGGGUUGUAAACCUCUUUCAGCAGGGAAUAAGCGAAAGUGAAGGUACCUGCAGAAGAAGCACCGGCUAACUAUGUGCCAGCCGCCGCCGUAA